rnacentral:rRNA from 1 species
UACGUAGGGGGCAAGCGUUGUCCGGAUUUAUUGGGCGUAAAGAGCGUGUAGGCGGCUAGAUAGGUCCGUUGUGAAAACUCGAGGCUCAACCUCGAGACGUCGAUGGAAACCAUCUGGCUAGAGUCCGGAAGAGGAGAGUGGAACUCCUGGUGUAGCGGUGGAAUGCGCAGAUAUCAGGAAGAACACCAACGGCGAAGGCAGCUCGCUGGGACGGUACUGACGCUGAGACGCGAAAGCGUGGGGAGCGAACAGG